UACAGAGGGUGCAAGCGUUAAUCGGAAUUACUGGGCGUAAAGCGUGCGUAGACGGUUAUUUAAGUCAGGUGUGAAAGCCCCGGGCUCAACCUGGGAAUUGCAUUUGAGACUGAAUAGCUAGGGUGCGGAAGAGGGAAGCGGAAUUUCCGGUGUAGCGGUGAAAUGCGUAGAUAUUGGGAAGAACACCAGUGGCGAAGGCGGCUCACUGGCCCGUAACUGACGCUGAGGUGCGAAAGCGUGGGGAGCAAACAGG
rnacentral:rRNA from 1 species